rnacentral:rRNA from 1 species
UACAGAGGGGGCAAGCGUUAUUCGGAAUUAUUGGGCGUAAAGGGCGCGUAGGCGGCUUUUCAAGUGACGGGUGAAAUCCCUCGGCUUAACCGAGGAACUGCCUGUCAGACUGGAAGGCUUGAGACCGGGAGAGGUGAGUGGAAUUCCAGGUGUAGCGGUGAAAUGCGUAGAUAUCUGGAGGAACACCGGUGGCGAAGGCGGCAUCCUGGACCGACACUGACGCUGAGGCGCGAAAGCUAGGGUAGCAAACGGG